CCUACGGGAGGCAGCAGUGGGGAAUAUUGCGCAAUGGGGGAAACCCUGACGCAGCAACGCCGCGUGAGUGAGGAAGUAUUUCGGUAUGUAAAGCUCUAUCAGCGGGGACGAAGAUGACGGUACCCGCAGAAGAAGUCCCGGCUAACUACGUGCCAGCAGCCGCGGUAAU
rnacentral:rRNA from 2 species